rnacentral:lncRNA from 1 species
CUACAAUGAAGUAUUGUGUGAAGUUUUGAAGGAUUUAUGGAAGGUAAUUAGGUGGCGGUUCAUGAUGAAGACCUCUAUCAAAGAGCUAAAAAUCAUGAUAUCUGGCUUCAGAUCUCUUACAUGGAGGGGAGUAGGCAGGAGGCAGCCCCAGCCAACUCAGACAUGAACACUUGUAACCUCUCAGUGAACCCCAGAAGCAGUCUAUCCAAAAACAGUUUCCUUUUGGCCUUAUUGGGAGUUGUUUGUAUCCUCUUGUGGAAUAGGAGAGGUCGGGGUGAUUUGUACAAGUGGAGCCUGGGGACAAUGUGUCUCUGUCUCUGCUCGGACAUCCCAGGUCCAGAGUGAACACAAAAACAACAAAACAGGGGGGAAAAUAAAUCUCUACUUUUGAGUGGGAUUCAUGCAGCUACCCAAUGUCUGCCAGCAAUGCCAAGGAACUCUGGUCAGAGCAAGGAUACGGCCUGCCCCACGUGACAGAUGUCAGAUACCUAACACAGAAAACCCUGGUUCAGCUUUGCGUUACUGGCUGUGGCAAAACUAAGCUCUUCAUCACUCUCAGCCUGCUUCCAAAAAGAAAACCUAUGCAGAAUGAGUAGGAAGAGGAGCAGUUUUUUUAACCAGGACUUCAAGGAUUGUGAAGAGCUGGGAUCAAUGUGUAAAGGAUUUUCAGGCCUUAAUACCUCCUUAUCCUAACACAGUGCUCCUAUCUCCAAGGCUCUUGAGGGAAGAAGCAGUGACUGACUGACAUCACCAGCUGAAUCAAAGGGAGAAAUAUGGCAAGCCACCAUGAGCAGGCUGCAAGCCAUGCAGGACAAUGACCAGGGAGAACUCUGUGCCCAGUCCCUGUGGGCACAUGCUGACCCAUCCAGGAGGAUGAAAAAAUACAGAAAAGUUUCCAAGAAUUGCUGCCUCCAGUACAUAAUGAAGUACGCUGCUGUGUGCAAUGUGUUGGAGAGUAGCCUCAAAGUUGAAAUUCCAGGCUUUGCUUUUGAAGAGAGAGGCUUGAUAGUGGCGCUUCAGUAUGACAGGGACUGCUAUUAGAAGCACAAAGGAUCAAACUGCGAUCAAAUCAAAAAAAAGAUGAAAUGAUUUAAGAAGAAGCAUUAGCAAGCAAUUUAUUUAAAUAUCACACCUGGAUCAUCUCUCUCCUCCCCCAGAUGUCAGAGAUCUCUGGCAGAGAUGUAGCUGGUGAUAUACUGCCUCUGAAUCUUUCUGUCUCUGGAUCCCAUCACAAGACAACAUCCAGUGACAGCAGCCUGUAUCGAAAUGUCACAUAUGUCUUACAGUCACGCUCAUGUUUCUGGACUGGAUUAAAAUAAUUAUGUGGGGAACAGAGCUAGCGGACAGCAGUCCAUAUUUUUCUGCAGUCUAGCUGCAAGUGGCAGGUUGUAAUGGCAGGUGCAUGCUUGGGAUUAACAGAUAAAGGUAAUGUGUUAACGCAUCAAUCCCUAUAAAAUUGUUGCCUUGCUAGAUCAAGCAAGCUGUCUCCCUGUGAAAGCAGUUACUUCAGUGAAAGAAGCUAUAUGAGAUGUUUUGCCGACAGAAAACAUGCCAAUUGCAAAUCUUACCUCCCCACACCUCCAGCCAAUAUUACUAAAACAUGGAUCUGUCAUAUUGGCAACAUUAGUAAGGUGUUUUUUUUUUUAUGUCUCACACCUCCUCACCUCUAAAUAACACUUGGGACAAGUUUGUUUGCUUCCUGCAUAUGCAAAAUGAUUAAUCCUCACCUAGUGAAAAAAAAAAAAAAAAAAAAAGAAGAAGAAGGAGGAGAGGGCACAAGCAAACCAGCAUGUAAACACUGAUAGAUUUCAUUUAUUUUCAUUAUAGUCAAGUUUUCACUCCUUCCCCCUGAAAAGUUUUUUUUUCUUUCUGAGCUGGUAGUGAGAGGGUGCAUUAAACACAUUAAACAUGAAGAGGUGGUUAGCUUUACCUGUUAGCUUGAUCAUGUCAGUAAUACCUUCCUUGAAUAGCUACCACAUUGCUUCAUCCUACCCUCAGUAGUUCUAACCUCAUUUUAAAUGUUGUUUGUGCCUGAGAUUGGUUCAAUAAACCACUGCUGCAAGAGCAGGUCUUUUCUCUCUUGCCAUAAAAUGCAGCUGCAAAAGCAGACACUGAGAAGUGCAGCACUUCCUGACUACAAAGUUGGUUGCACAGAAAUGGCACAUUCAGUAAGAUUUCAGCUGUCAAUGUAUUGGUAUAAGAGUCCUGCAGUUAUGUAGUAGUUUUCUAAUUUUUGGUGUGGGUGGGCUCUGCAGGAGCAGUUUACUAUUUUUGCCAUUGUACCAGGCUGACAGACCCUUUAGCCAGCAGAGGUGUGACACCAGCUCUGUGAGCUUUAAAGAAGGAAAAAUUAUGAAUGCUUCAUUUGCUGUGAAAAGAUGGUAUUUACUUUACUUGGUAUUUGUUUUACUUAUAGCAAGUAUUAUGCAGUGCAGGAAUUGACUUGUUAAUCACAUCUAAAUACGUAGCAGAGGUAUGUAUUUGUAGGCUUGCUGAAGCACUUGCAGAGGAUCAAUAUGUGUGGGAUACGUAUGCACAUGGAGUGGUAGUGUUUUCAGACAUGCUUAGACAACAUAAAAAUACUUUUCAAAGGCAACUAUCAGCACUUUAUCUCAUUACUAAGAAGUCAAGAGAUCUAUUUGAUUUGUAAAGUGUUUUCAUUUAAGGGUUUCAUAUUAACAGCCUUUCAUGUAUUUGGUUUUCUUUUUUUGGUAUUUGCAUGCAAGCAAUUGAAGUUGCAUAAUGCUGCAAAAUAUUGUCCUUAAAAAUUCAGUCAAAGAUAUUU